GAUGAACGCUGGCGGCGUGCUUAACACAUGCAAGUCGAACGAAGCAUUUAGGACAGAUUACUUCGGUUUGAAGUUCUUUAUGACUGAGUGGCGGACGGGUGAGUAACGCGUGGGUAACCUGCCUUGUACUGGGGGAUAGCAGCUGGAAACGGCUGGUAAUACCGCAUAAGCGCACAAUGUUGCAUGACAUGGUGUGAAAAACUCCGGUGGUAUAAGAUGGACCCGCAUCUGAUUAGCUAGUUGGUGAGAUAACAGCCCACCAAGGCGACGAUCAGUAGCCGACCUGAGAGGGUGACCGGCCACAUUGGGACUGAGACACGGCCCAGACUCCUACGGGAGGCAGCAGUGGGGAAUAUUGCACAAUGGAGGAAACUCUGAUGCAGCGACGCCGCGUGAGUGAAGAAGUAAUUCGUGAUGUAAAGCUCUAUCAGCAGGGAAGAUAGUGACGGUACCUGACGAAGAAGCUCCGGCUAAAUACGUG
rnacentral:rRNA from 1 species